rnacentral:rRNA from 1 species
GACGAACGCUGGCGGCGUGCUUAACACAUGCAAGUCGAGCGGUAAGGCUCCUUCGGGAGUACACGAGCGGCGAACGGGUGAGUAACACGUGAGCAAUCUGCCCUUCCCACGGGGAUAACCCUCGGAAACGAGAGCUAAUACCCGAUACGACCACUUCAGGCAUCUGAUGGGGGCGGAAAGUUCCGGCGGUGAAGGAUGAGCUCGCGGCCUAUCAGCUUGUUGGUGGGGUCACGGCCCACCAAGGCAACGACGGGUAGCCGGCCUGAGAGGGUGACCGGCCACACUGGGACUGAGACACGGCCCAGACUCCUACGGGAGGCAGCAGUGGGGAAUAUUGGACAAUGGGCGAAAGCCUGAUCCAGCAACGCCGCGUGAGGGAUGACGGCCUUCGGGUUGUAAACCUCUUUCAGCAGGGACGAAGCGCAAGUGACGGUACCUGCAGAAGAAGCACCGGCCAACUACGUGCCAGCAGCCGCGGUAA